GACGAACGCUGGCGGCGUGCUUAACACAUGCAAGUCGAACGGAAAGGCCCUGCUUUUGUGGGGUGCUCGAGUGGCGAACGGGUGAGUAACACGUGAGUAACCUGCCCUUGACUUUGGGAUAACUUCAGGAAACUGGGGCUAAUACCGGAUAGGAGCUCCUGCUGCAUGGUGGGGGUUGGAAAGUUUCGGCGGUUGGGGAUGGACUCGCGGCUUAUCAGCUUGUUGGUGGGGUAGUGGCUUACCAAGGCUGUGACGGGUAGCCGGCCCGAGAGGGUGACCGGCCACAUUGGGACUGAGAUACGGCCCAGACUCCUACGGGAGGCAGCAGUGGGGAAUAUUGCACAAUGGGCGGAAGCCUGAUGCAGCAACGCCGCGUGCGGGAUGACGGCCUUCGGGUUGUAAACCGCUUUCGCCUGUGACGAAGCGUGAGUGACGGUAAUGGGUAAAGAAGCACCGGCUAACUACGUG
rnacentral:rRNA from 1 species